rnacentral:rRNA from 1 species
CAUAGUGGCAUGAGGCGAACCGGGGGAACUGAAACAUCUCAGUACCCCGAGGAAAAGAAAUCAACCGAGAUUCCCCCAGUAGCGGCGAGCGAACGGGGAGGAGCCCAGAACCUGAAUCAGUUUGAGUCUUAGUGGAAGCGUCUGGAAAGUCGCACGACAGAGGGUGAUAGUCCCGUACACGAAGAGGCAUGAGCUGUGAGUUCGACGAGUAGGGCGGGACACGUGUUAUCCUGUCUGAAUAUGGGGGGACCAUCCUCCAAGGCUAAAUACUCCUGACUGACCGAUAGUGAACCAGUACCGUGAGGGAAAGGCGAAAAGAACCCCGGCGAGGGGAGUGAAAUAGAACCUGAAACCGUGUACGUACAAGCAGUGGGAGCAUCCUUCGGGGUGUGACUGCGUACCUUUUGUAUAAUGGGUCAGCGACUUAUAUUCUGUAGCAAGGUUAACCGCAUAGGGGAGCCGCAGGGAAACCGAGUCUUAACUGGGCGUUAAGUUGCAGGGUAUAGACCCGAAACCCGGUGAUCUAGCCAUGGGCAGGUUGAAGGUUGGGUAACACUAACUGGAGGACCGAACCGACUAAUGUUGAAAAAUUAGCGGAUGA